GUUCUGCAGUAUAUCAUUAAUUUAGGAAAACGGGACACCUACUAUCAAACCACAACAGGCCCUUCCACGCUGAGUAACGGCGGUGAUAUGGGAACCUUUUAACGGGAAUCACUGAAGCAUCCUGGUGGGGAUGGAAAGGGCAGCACGUCGCCAGCAGAAGGAGAUGAUUCCAAACCAAAGUUAAAGGCUGGGAGUAAAGCUCUUCACACCAUAACCUGCCGUCCUCGCAUCAGGCCCGCUCAGACAGCCCGGUACAGACACACACAGAGGGUGACACAGGUACAUGAUGCAGGACCCAAACAGGAGCCACCGCUUUAUUCACUCAGGCACAGGAUGCAGGAUCUGCUCACGGAACUUGGAGGCUCGGACUGAUACAUGAUUUUGGGAGCUUUACUCACUACAAAUAUCUUUUGAUGAUGAAACUGACUGCGUAAAGCUCUGGAAGAAAGACCUUGCAUGAAUAUGGCCAAAUUAGGAAACCCUUAUCGUAACAGCUGUGUUCAUAACCACAUGUAUUGCUGGUUUAUUUUUUAAUCUACAUUACUGGAUCUAUUUUUGACUACAAACUAGAUGACUCAUUUGAUCACGGCCAGUGAAAAAAACAUAGUAUGUUGCCACAAAAUACUUCUUAGAGUUGAUGCAGUAUUUUUUUUUUUGCUUUCCACUGCAAUCAUAUAUCUCUUUACAAACAACCAUGGGCAAAAUCAGCCCAUUCAGGAAUUUGGCUUGCUUUAUUCAAUAACCAAGGAGCUGCCUGGA